AUAUAUAUAUAUACACACACAUAUAUAUAUAUAAGUAUAUAUAUAUGUAUAUGUAUAUGUAUAUGUAUAUAUGUAUAU